CGUUCUCUCUCUUAGCUUUUGGGGUCAUGGCCAGAGAUAAUCAAAACAUGUUCGAUUCAAAGAUAGCAUCUAAGAAUUUCUCUCCUCCAUCUCUCUCUCUCUCUCUCUCUCUCUCUCUCUCUCUCUCUCUCUCUCUCUCUCUCUCUCCACCACCCCCCUAUAUAUAAACCCUUGCGAGCCAUCUGUAAGUUCUCCAAGCAAAUCACUCUUCCAUUGCAUCUGCAGUUACAUUCAAGACACUAUUACAAUGUCUUGAAGAGUGGCAAUGCAAUCAAUAUUCACAUGUGGCUUUUAGGGUACCUAUGUACAUAUGUGAAUGCUAUGCCCUAUAUGUUUAAUUGGGCUCGAGUGAAUGGUUCCUAUAUGGGUCCUCCUCCUCGUCUAUGGCCUAACGUGUAUGUGAGGAAAGUAACGUGCAGCCAAGGAUGACUUGCCGAGCCUUCUUUUUUUUGUUCUGAAUUAUAUAUAUAGUCUGAUAUUGUUCAUCAUCAUCAUUGUUAAUUAUAUACAUGUUCUUGAAGAAGUGAACAAAAGAUUUGACAUAAAUCAAGAACGUAUGUGUGUGUGUGUAUAUAUAUAUAAGUAAAUGAGGGAAAAAAAACAUGAUAAGAGAUGGUAUGGAUCGGCAAGUUGUCCUUGGCUACACGUUUCUUUCUGUUGCGCAUGCUAGGCCUUAGGUGACACACCAAAGCCACAGUCUCCCAAUCUAUGAGAUGAUCUGCAUACGGCAAAUCAUGUUGGGGUGACAAAAGUUGGUGAGACGAUAAAGACCGUUGAGGAGCCAGUUUGGUCCGAUCCCGUAACUUCUACUUUUGCUCUUUCGAAAUUUCCUUGAAAUCAAAUCUUGAUAAUGUAAUGCCUACAUAAUUACAGAAAAAACAAACACAAAAUAAAAAACUUUAUAAUAUUUAUUCCUUAUCUUUGUUA